rnacentral:rRNA from 1 species
CACGUAGGGGGCGAGCGUUGUCCGGAUUUAUUGGGCGUAAAGAGCUCGUAGGCGGUUCGGCAAGUCGGGUGUGAAAUUUCGAGGCUCAACCUCGAAACGCCACUCGAUACUGCUGUGACUGGAGUCCGGUAGAGGAGUGCGGAAUUCCUGGUGUAGCGGUGAAAUGCGCAGAUAUCAGGAGGAACACCAACGGCGAAGGCAGCUCGCUGGGACGGUACUGACACUGAGGCGCGAAAGCGUGGGGAGCAAACAGG